GUCAUAUUGCUGAAUUACUCCAGAAGGUUGUUACAAGAACUUUUAUCAGUCAUAAAACGUAAGUGAAAAGUUUAUGGAACACUGAUUUUAAAGUAAAAUGUAAAAUCUGGUCAUGUGGAUGUAAAGUUUGUUGGACAACAUCUUAAACAUUGUUGGAUGUAAUUGAAUUCAGUUUGACAAAAAGGAAGGCAGCAUAAAACAGGACGAACUGGCAGUCCUAUCAUGGCAUUAGAUUGGUAUUAAUUGGUGUUACAUCAAACAUGUACAAAUCCAUUUUCUGGUCAUUAUGAAGAUUUGUUUUUUGAGGGUCAUGUUUGUGGGCAACAUUGUGGCUUAGCAGUUGAAUAUUUUAAAAGACUGAGUAAGUUUGUUGUGAUGUGUGGCAUGAUAAAUGUGUUCAGUGUGUAUCUGUGUGCAAACAGUUAUCAAUUUAUGAAUUACAAAUGUGUGUGAAAGAAUGAAUAAGACAAUGACUUCUGUAUGAAAUGGAAUGCAUGUUAUUGUUAAAAAUGCAAGUGUGAAAAAGAUGAGGCUUACAAUUGUAUGUAUGAAAUGGGUCAAGUGUGAUUGUGAAGUAUGCAUGUGUGAGAGUUGUAUGAAAUGGGAUAAGUGUUUGUAUGAAGUAUGCAUGCAAGAGGGAAAAAUGGUCAAAUGUAUGAGUGAUUUUUAUGGGUUUGAACCAGGAAUGCAAGAAAAUUAUCUUGUUUCUUAGAGAAACAUCAUUAUUGUUGAGUUAUAAUAUGAGAGAAAAGUUUAUAAUAAAUGAAAAACAAGAAAAAAGUAUAAAUAAAUAUA
rnacentral:lncRNA from 1 species